rnacentral:lncRNA from 1 species
UGUAAACAACCACCAGCUAAUCUCUAUUGGCUUGGGAUUUUGUGGUUUAGAAAAUACUCAUCACCUGCAUUGUCCUAAUGAUUUAUGAUGAGUGGGAUCAUAAUUUGUGAGUGCUGGUGUCCUCUGCAGGAACACAGGCUUAACAUAGCAGAAUAACUUGACUCAGGAUGGUUGGAGGAAGAGAGGUGGAAGAAGGCUGAGAAAAAUAGUGAAGAUGGAAGACUUUGUUUUGGGCUCUUUCAGAAUCUCUACUCUCAAGUGGUCCAUUUUCUUGGACUACUAUCCAGAGAUAAAAUGAGAA